rnacentral:lncRNA from 1 species
UGCUUUUAUUAACUUAUGAUGUUUAGAAAUUUAUUUGGUUCUUUAUUAAUUGGCACUUCCAUUUAAAUAUAUCUGAAAAUAGGACAUUGCAAAUAUGUGUAGAUGCUAUAAUUUUUUUGUACAUUGAAUAUGUAAGAGAAAUUUGAAAUGCCUAUACAGCUGGUUACUCUAUUUUAAGUGCCUUUUCUGGGUACCAUGUAUGUUUCAGUCUAACAUUCAUUGUUUUAAUUCUGUGUGAAUGUAUUUUAGGAAUUCUAAAGACUCAUUGACUAAACUGACUAACAAAAAUAUUUCCAAUUUAAAGAUUAUUACCCCUUUAAACAACAUCUUAACUGUGACCCAGUGAGCUGUCAGAUAACAUAGAAAGUGAAAACUCUCAGUAAUAAAAAGUUUAUGAUAAUGCCUUAUAUGUAAAUACAUACUUGUGCUCAAGUAUAUUGUAUUUCCUUGUCUUAUAUUGUUUUAGUCAGGAAACUCUCACAGGAAACUUGAGUCUUUUGUGUGCAGAUGACAGUCUCUUUGUUAUGUUCUUACUUGUGUAUGGUUUUGUUUAUUUCUUUCUUUCGUUGAUUCUUGAGGUCUAUUUGGUUUAAAAUGAAAUUUUCCUAUUUUGUUUUGAAAGUUUUCCAUACUUGUGCAAUAUUUUUUCUUACAAUUUCACUGGUAAUGAAACUGUAAUUUAGCAAUUAGAUAAAUAACCCCAAAAACUGUUAGAUAAAAGUUUAAAUG